GACGUAGGUGGCGAACGUUAUCCGGAAUUAUUGGGCGUAAAGGAUGCGUAGAUGGUGUAGUAAGUUAUCGGUGGCAAAUCGAGGCUCAACCUCGUGGAAGUCGGUAAUACUGCUAUGCUAGAGGAUAGGAGAGGUUAACGGAACUCCCUGUGGAGCGGUGAAAUGCGUAGAUAUAGGGAAGAACACCAAUAAGGCGAAGGCAGUUAACUAUUCUAUUCCUGACAUUGAGGCAUGAAAGCGUGGGGAGCAAAAUGGG
rnacentral:rRNA from 1 species